GACGAACGCUGGCGGCGUGCUUAACACAUGCAAGUCGAACGGAAAGGCACUGCUUUUGUGGGGUUCUCGAGUGGCGAACGGGUGAGUAACACGUGAGUAACCUGCCCUUGUCUUUGGGAUAACUUCAGGAAACUGGGGCUACUACCGGAUAGGAGCUCCUGCUCCAUGGUGGGGGUUGGAACGUUUCGGCGGGUGGGGAUGGACUCGCGGCUUAUCAGCUUGUUGGUGGGGUAGUGGCUUACCAAGGCUGUGACGGGUAGCCGGCCUGAGAGGGUGACCGGCCACAUUGGGACUGAGAGACGGCCCAGACUCGUACGGGAGGCAGCAGUGGGGAAUAUUGCACAACGGGAGGAAGCCUGAUGCAGCAACGCCGCGUGCGGGAUGACGGCCUUCGGGUUGUAAACCGCUUUCGCCUGUGACGAAGCGUGAGUGACGGUAAUGGGUAAAGAAGCACCGGCUAACUACGUG
rnacentral:rRNA from 1 species